CAGUCGCCACGGUAAUACGUAGGGUGCGAGCGUUAAACGGAAUUACUGGGCGUAAAGCGUGCGCAGGCGGUUGUGUAAGACAGGUGUGAAAUCCCCGGGCUUAACCUGGGAACUGCGCUUGUGACUGCACAGCUAGAGUAUGGCAGAGGGGGGUGGAAUUCCACGUGUAGCAGUGAAAUGCGUAGAGAUGUGGAGGAACACCGAUGGCGAAGGCAGCCCCCUGGGCCAAUACUGACGCUCAUGCACGAAAGCGUGGGGAGCAAACAGGAUUAGAUACCCGGGUAGUCCCUGUCUCUUAUAC
rnacentral:rRNA from 1 species